rnacentral:rRNA from 1 species
GACGUAGGGCGCAAGCGUUGUUCGGAAUUAUUGGGCGUAAAGCGCGUGUAGGCGGUCUGAUUAGUCUGAUGUGAAAGCCCUGGGCUCAACCCAGGAAGUGCAUUGGAUACUGUCAGACUUGAAUACGGGAGAGGGUAGUGGAAUUCCUAGUGUAGGAGUGAAAUCCGUAGAUAUUAGGAGGAACACCGGUGGCGAAGGCGGCUACCUGGACCGAUAUUGACGCUGAGACGCGAAAGCGUGGGUAGCAAACAGG